GGGGGCGUAGCUCAGUUGGCUAGAGCGCAACGCUGGCAGCGUUGAGGUCGACGGUUCGAUUCCGUUCGUCUCCA
rnacentral:tRNA from 1 species